AUCCUUUUGUAGUUCAUGAGCAUGGGGAUUGGGGUCUUCAUGCUCAAGUUUCAAAUGUCCCUCCCUCAAACUGUUUGACCUCAGCACAUUACCAGUCUGACA